rnacentral:rRNA from 1 species
AGUCGAACGAUGAUGCCCAGCUUGCUGGGCGGAUUAGUGGCGAACGGGUGAGUAAUACGUGAGUAACCUGCCCUUGACUCUGGGAUAAGCCUGGGAAACUGGGUCUAAUACUGGAUACUACCGUCCACCGCAUGGUGGGUGGUGGAAAGGGUUUUACUGGUUUUGGAUGGGCUCACGGCCUAUCAGCUUGUUGGUGGGGUAAUGGCUCACCAAGGCGACGACGGGUAGCCGGCCUGAGAGGGUGACCGGCCACACUGGGACUGAGACACGGCCCAGACUCCUACGGGAGGCAGCAGUGGGGAAUAUUGCACAAUGGGCGGAAGCCUGAUGCAGCGACGCCGCGUGAGGGAUGACGGCCUUCGGGUUGUAAACCUCUUUCAGUAGGGAAGAAGCGAAAGUGACGGUACCUGCAGAAGAAGCGCCGGCUAACUACGUGCCAGCAGCCGCGGUAAUACGUAGGGCGCAAGCGUUGUCCGGAAUUGUUGGGCGUAAAGAGCUCGUAGGCGGUUUGUCGCGUCUGCUGUGAAAGCCCGGGGCUCAACCCCGGGUCUGCAGUGGGUACGGGCAGACUAGAGUGCAGUAGGGGAGACUGGAAUUCCUGGUGUAGCGGUGAAAUGCGCAGAUAUCAGAGGAACACCGAUGGCGAAGGCAGGUCUCUGGGCUGUUACUGACGCUGAGGAGCGAAAGCAUGGGGAGCGAACAGGAUUAGAUACCCUGGUAGUCCAUGCCGUAAACGUUGGGCACUAGGUGUGGGGGACAUUCCACGUUUUCCGCGCCGUAGCUAACGCAUUAAGUGCCCCGCCUGGGGAGUACGGCCGCAAGGCUAAAACUCAAAGGAAUUGACGGGGGCCCGCACAAGCGGCGGAGCAUGCGGAUUAAUUCGAUGCAACGCGAAGAACCUUACCAAGGCUUGACAUUCACCGGACCGCCCCAGAGAUGGGGUUUCCCUUCGGGGCUGGUGGACAGGUGGUGCAUGGUUGUCGUCAGCUCGUGUCGUGAGAUGUUGGGUUAAGUCCCGCAACGAGCGCAACCCUCGUUCUAUGUUGCCAGCACGUGAUGGUGGGGACUCAUAGGAGACUGCCGGGGUCAACUCGGAGGAAGGUGGGGAUGACGUCAAAUCAUCAUGCCCCUUAUGUCUUGGGCUUCACGCAUGCUACAAUGGCCGGUACAAAGGGUUGCGAUACUGUGAGGUGGAGCUAAUCCCAAAAAGCCGGUCUCAGUUCGGAUUGAGGUCUGCAACUCGACCUCAUGAAGUCGGAGUCGCUAGUAAUCGCAGAUCAGCAACGCUGCGGUGAAUACGUUCCCGGGCCUUGUACACACCGCCCGUCAAGUCACGAAAGUUGGUAACACCCGAAGCCGGUGGCCUAACCC